CCUACGGGUGGCUGCAGUGGGGAAUAUUGGACAAUGGGCGAAAGCCUGAUCCAGCCAUGCCGCGUGUGUGAAGAAGGCCUUCGGGUUGUAAAGCACUUUCAGUGGGGAAGAAAGCCUUGGGGCUAAUACCCUCGAGGAAGGACAUCACCCACAGAAGAAGCACCGGCUAACUCCGUGCCAGCAGCCGCGGUAAUACGGAGGGUGCGAGCGUUAAUCGGAAUUACUGGGCGUAAAGCGCGCGUAGGCGGUCUGAUAAGCCGGUUGUGAAAGCCCCGGGCUCAACCUGGGAACGGCAUCCGGAACUGUCAGGCUAGAGUGCAGGAGAGGAAGGUAGAAUUCCCGGUGUAGCGGUGAAAUGCGUAGAGAUCGGGAGGAGUACCAGUGGCGAAGGCGGCCUUCUGGACUGACACUGACGCUGAGGUGCGAAAGCGUGGGUAGCAAACAGGAUUAGAUACCCUGGUAGUC
rnacentral:rRNA from 1 species